UACGGGGGGGGCAAGCGUUGUUCGGAAUUACUGGGCGUAAAGGGCGCGUAGGCGGCCUGCUAAGUCGGACGUGAAAUCCCUCGGCUCAACCGGGGAACUGCGUCCGAUACUGGUGGGCUCGAAUCCGGGAGAGGGUAGUGGAAUUCCCGGUGUAGCAGUGAAAUGCGUAGAGAUCGGGAGGAACACCAGUGGCGAAGGCGGCCUUCUGGACCAAUACUGACGCUCAUGCACGAAAGCGUGGGGAGCAAACAGG
rnacentral:rRNA from 1 species